UACGUAGGGUGCGAGCGUUAAUCGGAAUUACUGGGCGUAAAGUGUGCGCAGGCGGCCGCGCAAGUCGAGUGUGAAAGCCCCGGGCUUAACUUGGGAAUUGCGCUCGAAACUACGUGGCUGGAGUGUGGCAGAGGAAGGUGGAAUUCCAGGUGUAGCGGUGAAAUGCGUGGAGAUCUGGAGGAACACCGAUGGCGAAGGCAGCCUUCUGGGCCAACACUGACGCUCAUGCACGAAAGCGUGGGGAGCAAACAGG
rnacentral:rRNA from 1 species